ACUUGGUCAAAAUUAAACUGAGAAAAUGUUAUUUUGUCUUUUGAUCUUUUUUUCCAAUUUCCAUGUUGGGGAGUACUGCAGAUGUUAUCUCCUAGUGAAUUUAUUGCACAGUGAAAAGGACGGCAAGUUUCCUAAAUAUUUCAUCAGUUUCAUCAGCUGGCCAUUAUCUCCUUUUAAUUCACGACCGUGAAGAGAUAUUCAUGCACUCCCUCCUUUAAACACCACACAGGCCUGAUGUAAGGAAUGGUGCAUGCACCCCAAGGGUUCCCAGCACCUUUCCAGAUAAAAGUAUCUGCAUUUAUUGGUAUCGAGAGCACAAUAUUACCUUUUUAUGACUAGAGUCGCAAAGAAGUGAGUGAAAUGAAAAUGCCAUUUGGCUAUUGUCCAGGCCCAAAUGUAGCUCUGGUGAGUUCAAGAGGGAGACAGGAUUUUUGGAUAGAGAUUAAUGCAGAAAGUGU